rnacentral:misc_RNA from 1 species
GUAUAAUAUGUUUCACAUGCUUCGACUUUACUUGGUGUAUGUAAAAACAUAGGCAGUAAAACAGGAGGACACCUUUUGUUCCAAGAACAAAGACUCUUCCUCAUUUCUGCCUACAGGGUGUGCACAGGUGGAUAGGAUAAGAGUUGAGGAGUGCACAUGCUUAAAGCCAGCACAUCCCCUAGUUUUCUUUAAUGAUCCUUCCGCAGGUUCACCUACGGAAA